rnacentral:rRNA from 1 species
AUUGAACGCUGGCGGCAGGCCUAACACAUGCAAGUCGAGCGGAGCGGCGGACGGGUGAGUAAUGCCUGGGAAUCUGCCUGGUCGUGGGGGAUAACGUCCGGAAACGGGCGCUAAUACCGCAUCCUAUCAGAUGAGCCUAGGUCGGAUUAGCUAGUUGGUGGGGUAAAGGCCUACCAAGGCGACGAUCCGUAACUGGUCUGAGAGGAUGAUCAGUCACACUGGAACUGAACCACGGUCCAGACUCCUACGGGAGGCAGCAGUGGGGAAUAUUGCACAAUGGGCGCAAGCCUGAUGAAGCCAUGCCGCGUGUAUGAAGAAGGCCUUCGGGUUGUAAAGUACUUUCAGCGAGGAGGCGUUACUCGCAGAAGAAGCACCGGCUAACUCCGUGCCAGCAGCCGCGGUAAUUC